AGGACAAACGCUGGCGGGGUGCAUGAGACAUGCAAGUCGAACGGGGUGCCAUCGGGCUUGCUCGAUGGUUACCUAGUGGCGGACGGCUGAGUAACGCGUAGGUGACCUACCCGGAAGUGGGGAAUAACUGCCCGAAAGGGUGGCUAAUACCGCAUGUGGUCGACGAUUCGGUUCGUCGUCCAAAGGAGAAAUCCGCUUCCGGCGGGGCCUGCGUCCGAUUAGCUAGUUGGUGGGGUAACGGCUCACCAAGGCGACGAUCGGUAGCUGGUCUGAGAGGAUGAUCAGCCAGACUGGGACUGAGAACGGCCCAGACUCCUACGGGAGGCAGCAGUCGGGAAUUUUGCCCAAUGGACGAAAGUCUGAGGCAGCAACUCCGCGUGAGGGAUGAAGGCUCUAGGGUCGUAAACCUCUUUUCUCAGGGAAGAUCCAAGACGGUACCUGAGGAAUAAGCGACGGCUAACUACGUGCCAGCAGCCGC
rnacentral:rRNA from 1 species